UACGUAGGGGCCUAGCGUUGUCCGGAUUUAUUGGGCGUAAAGAGCUCGUAGGCGGUUCGGCAAGUCGGAUGUGAAAUCUCCACGCUCAACGUGGAGGGGCCAUUCGAAACUGCCGUGACUCGAGUCCGGUAGGGGAGUGUGGAAUUCCCGGUGUAGCGGUGAAAUGCGCAGAUAUCGGGAGGAACACCAGUAGCGAAGGCGGCACUCUGGGC
rnacentral:rRNA from 1 species